GCUGGGAUAGCUCAGUCAGUAGAGCAUAAGGCUGUUAAUCUCAGGGUUGUGGGUUCGAGUUCGGUGCUGGGCA